GCUCCGCGUCUGAGAGGAGGCGCGCGAGCUCCGGCGUGACAUGUCGCAGCGAAUCCUCUCCUGGAAACACGGAGAAGACAAAACACUCCGCCAUCAACGCGCGUGAGAUUUAAUUCAUCUCUUCAACCCGCUCUUAUCAUCAGGCUCCUGGAGACGUUCGCUUCUGUCUGUUGCUACAAGUACACACACACACACAGACCCAAAUAUACACAGUUUGGAGAGAGAGCGCGAGAGCGAGGGAGAAAGAGCGACGGUAAGGAGAACGAGGGGAAGAACAAGCCAUGAAGGGUCCCUGUCAGGCAGACAUAAGCUGCUUUUAUCAGGACAUUUAUCAGAAGUUUUCCGGAAGGGGCUGUAUGUUAGGACGUAAAACAUCAGAAUCAGGACAUUUUCUGGAACUUUUCCUGCCAGCCCCCUGGUAAAAUGUCAGAGUGAGCCCAUGUGACAACACAGCAGGAAAAUGGCCGGAAAAGUCCCAGUGAGCGAGAUGGCACGUUAGUGACGUUUCCAAAUGGUGACGGAAACAAAACCAAAAGGAGACCGACACGUGGAAGACGCUGAUGAAGAUGUCAACUCAGAAAGACAAAGAUGUCCGAGAGCUUUUGGUGAUGAGGGCCGACGCUGGUGUCGAUGCUUUGAUUUUUUCUGGACGUUUUCCGGAGUUCAUGCCUGAGAACAGCUGCACACUGAGGAGCUGUUUUAAGUAUUUAAAGGAAAGAUCAAAUGCCCAAAUCUUCUUUUGAGCACAUUGAUUCAGGAAGUGUCAUCCCUCGUGUGUUGGUGUUGUCAGACAACUUCACAAAACUCACACAUAAACAGUGUUCCCCAUAUAAGAUUAGUGCAAACACAGCUUGAGAAUUUGCUUUGACAGUGUGCUACUAACUCUCCCUUGCUCAUGCUACAGUGUUCUCAUAGCUCCUAUAGCGGGUUUCUCUCUGUCGGUCAGGGACACACACACAAACGCAUACACGCACAAACACAAAUGUGGAAUUUUGUUUUUUACAGACAACAGCAGCAAAUACACAAAAAAGAGGGAUACACAUGCACACAUGUAUACAAACACACACACACAUCCACAGAAGCAGCAGCAUGGAUUAAUACAUGUGGCUCAACUAUUUCAUUUAUUACUGUCGGAGGCCUUUUGUGAUCAGGGCAUUUUUCAGGUUGCUAACCAUUAUUCCCUCUAGGCCCCGAGCUCUUCAAAGGACUGCAUGUGUGUGAUUGUGUGUGUCUCAUUUUUAGACUUACCCGGCCUUAUGGUUAUGGUCUAACCAAAAAGUCUGAUUUUUUUUCUUUCUAUUCUUUAGGGGAUUCACGUUGCCAUUUCUGACUGUACUUAAUGCUCCCUCUCCAUUUGUCAACACCGGCCUAAGCAGCUCCAAGCCUGUUUGGUUUGCCAUGAGAGCCUUUUUUUUUUGCACCUCUAUCAUGCCUUGAAAUAUUGCUGAGUGUGCGGUAUCCAUCAAUAUAACAAAAGUAUCCGAGACAGGGGAGAGCGAGGCAAGGGAAACACGAGGCGAGAGAGACCCACAAGUGAACAGUAACACAUCUCUUGUCUCCGUCCUGAUGUUCAUCCACCCCCCCAGUGUAUUAAAAUGUGUUUACACAGUCCUCGAAACAACUACAGCACAAAUUACAUGCACAUAGAAAUCUAAACUCAGACCAGAUGGCUUUGCUCCUGCUCUGAAUAACGGCUGGUGUUUGGUUCUGUUUUCACGGGCCUGACUCUGCCACCGCCUCAAGAAUAAAUUAAUUCAACGGUUUAUUCUUGGUGUGGUUUGUUUUCCGAAGGAACCUUUGUUUUCUGGCCAGUGGGUUAAUGCGGGACACUGACACAGUAAUUAAUUGAAAAUCACUCUGGGGUUCGACCAUGUAAAAGACAGGAAGCUGUGUGCACAUCCUCCGCGGCCCGCCCGCCUGCCAGCCCUGCAUCAUUGCACUCCACAGGGCCAGAAUUAAAAUCAGUGAUUGGAUUACAGUUACUGAAGUACCGGAUGUGUGAAUGAACCUGAAGUCAAUCAUUCCAUCAAUUAAAUAGUAAUGUAUAGACCAUAUUCACAAUUUGUCUCAUAGGGCUUAACAAGGUGUGACACCCUCUGUACUUAACCCUCAAAAGGAGUGAGGAAAUAUUACCCCAAAAAAAACUAUUAACAGGGGGAAAAGCAUAGAAACCUCAGAGAGAGCCACAUGUGAGGAAUCCUCUCCCAGGACGAACAGAGGUGAAAGUCAUGCUGUGUGUAACUGAACACAUCAACAAAAUAACAGUGUUUACAACAUUGAUUAGAAGAAAUAGUUUGUCAAUGAUUAAAGUAUUUAUACAUAAGAAAAUGUCUGAUAGAGAUGAAGGGUGCAGCAAUGGACAAUGAACUGAGGAGUUAUUGAAAGUAAUGGUAGAGUGUGUGAGUAUAGGCAUAUUGUAUAUAUCAAGCAGUCUGGUUGUAGUCAUAAUCCACGAUCAGCUGCCACCACCAUCAGGAUCCAGCACCACAAACCAGGAUCAGCUGCCUCCACAAUCCAUGGUCACGAUCUACCAUCACAGGUAAAACAGACGAAAUGGAGCAGUACCACCGGAAAUCGUGUGGGGGCAGUGUAGCCAAUAGUUCAAG